rnacentral:rRNA from 1 species
GAUGAACGCUGGCGGCGUGCCUAAUACAUGCAAGUCGAGCGAACGGACGAGAAGCUUGCUUCUCUGAUGUUAGCGGCGGACGGGUGAGUAACACGUGGAUAACCUACCUAUAAGACUGGGAUAACUUCGGGAAACCGUAGCUAAUACCGGAUAAUAUUUUGAACCGCAUGGUUCAAAAGUGAAAGACGGUCUUGCUGUCACUUAUAGAUGGAUCCGCGCUGCAUUAGCUAGUCGGUAAGGUAACGGCUUACCAAGGCAACGAUGCAUAGCCGACCUGAGAGGGUGAUCGGCCACACUGGAACUGAGACACGGUCCAGACUCCUACGGGAGGCAGCAGUAGGGAAUCUUCCGCAAUGGGCGAAAGCUUGACGGAGCAACGCCGCGUGAGUGAUGAAGGUCUUCGGAUCGUAAAACUCUGUUAUUAGGGAAGAACAUAUGUGUAAGUAACUGUGCACAUCUUGACGGUACCUAAUCAGAAAGCCACGGCUAACUACGUG